GCCUAAUACAUGCACGUCGAGCGCGGGAAGCAAAUGGAUCCUCUUCGGAGGUGAUGUUUGUGGAACGAGCGGCGGACGGGUGAGUAACACGUGGGCAACCUGCCUGUAAGACUGGGAUAACUCCGGGAAACCGGGGCUAAUACCGGAUAAUACUUUUUCUCUCAUGAGGAGAAAGUUGAAAGGCGGCUUUUGCUGUCACUUACAGAUGGGCCCGCGGCGCAUUAGCUAGUUGGUGGGGUAAUGGCUCACCAAGGCAACGAUGCGUAGCCGACCUGAGAGGGUGAUCGGCCACACUGGGACUGAGACACGGCCCAAACUCCUACGGGAGGCAGCAGUACGGGAAUCUUCCGCAAUGGACGAAAGUCUGACGGAGCAACGCCGCGUGAGUGAUGAAGGUUUUCGGAUCGU
rnacentral:rRNA from 1 species